rnacentral:lncRNA from 1 species
UGAAUGCUUCCUAAGAAAGCAAUGAAACUGGGCUCAUUCUGCAAAUACAUGUACAUGUUACUGGUAGUCUUCACGUACCAUAAAAUGGUUUGCCGACUCUACAAAUAUUUUACUUGUAAUUCAAUUUACUAGAAUUUUGUUGAUCCCAUGUUAAACUUGGCAGCCAGAAGGCUCCUGGUGAUAAAACUCCUUGCACCAGUACCUCUUGAACAGCUGUCAAAAUACAUAUUUCAAUACAUUUGCAGAGUGCAGAUAGGGAGCUCGGAAAUACGACUGUGCAAGUCACCUGGGGAAUCAGAGCAAAAUAAAAACCAUUUCUUCUUCUGAACAUUUCUAUUAAUUCCAAAUAAUGAAUUCAUUUGUGGGAUUGUAAAAAUAAAUAAAUGAAUCUGUAAAUAGAACAAGACAUGAAAUUUGUUAUAGAAAAUAAUCCAGCCUUCGGGAGUAAACUUGUGCAGUGUCAGCCAUAUGAUAUUCUGCUGGCUCGUUAUCAACAGGAGAAAGCAAAGUUAGCUGGAAAGAGAAGCCUGCAAGCUGAUGUCAGGGCCCUGAUUGCAAUUAAUUGCCCUGAUGAGCCUCAUGGAUCAUCUGUGAGGGCUUGCCUGGCGGUUGGAGUCACAGGCUUGAAGUGGAAUAGCCUCCAUCUUCCAGCAUUUGGUGCCAAGAUACCCUACUUCCAUAUAGAUGGAGGAGAAAUCUUGUCCUGUGAAGGACCUGCCCCAUGUGCUUUUGAAGCUAUUCAAAUGGUCCAUUCUUGGUUGCCUUCAGCAUCAAAUUUUCGGGUAUGUUGAAUUUAGUUAUCUAUGUGGAAAGUAAUCUGAUUAGUUUGAGAAUGAAAGAUAUUAGAAGAAAGCUUCCUGUUGACUUCAGUUAGCUUUAGGUCAUAAGCACCCAGCUUUGUAGUAUUGAUCAAGAAGAGCAAGUAUUUCCUCUUUAAUCACUGAAUCAAUGAAUUAAGAGCUUUGAUUAUUGCAAGAUUUGCAUGAGAGCUUUAAAUACUGAUUUUUAAAGGUGCAUUAUUCUGUUCAUGCACUUAGAUUUCAAUGAAUUGAAUUAAGUAAUUGUUAAUUUUAGAGGUUGGCAUGCAAAAAUAUUUUUUAUUAUAAAAUAAACUAUCUUGUAAUAAGCAAUGUUUCAUGCUUUACUUUUCCAUUCAACAGAUGUAGCAUUUGUAGAAGCAAUAACUGAUGGAAUACAUGUCACAAAAAGCAUGUGGUAG